rnacentral:rRNA from 1 species
CCCGAGUGGUGAUCGUGAUUAUUGGGUCUAAAGGGUCCGUAGCCGGUUUGGUCAGUCCUCCGGGAAAUCUGAUAGCUCAACUAUUAGGCUUUCGGGGGAUACUGCCAGACUUGGAACCGGGAGAGGUAAGAGGUACUACAGGGGUAGGAGUGAAAUCUUGUAAUCCCUGUGGGACCACCUGUGGCGAAGGCGUCUUACCAGAACGGGUUCGACGGUGAGGGACGAAAGCUGGGGGCACGAACCGGAUUAGAUACCCGGGUAGUCCCAGCCGUAAACGAUGCUCGCUAGGUGUCAGGCAUGGCGCGACCGUGUCUGGUGCCGCAGGGAAGCCGUGAAGCGAGCCACCUGGGAAGUACGGCCGCAAGGCUGAAACUUAAAGGAAUUGGGCGGGGGAGCACAACAACGGGUGGAGCCCUGCGGUUUAAUUGGACUCAACGCCGGACAACUCACCGGGGGCGACAGCAAUAUGUAGGCCAAGCUGAACGACUUUGCCUGAAUCGCUGAGGAGUGGUGCAUGG